AACAAGGAUUCCCCUAGUAACGGCGAGUGAAGCGGGAAGAGCUCAAAUUUGAAAUCUGGCAGUCUUCGAUUGUCCGAGUUGUAAUCUAUAGAGGCGUUUUCCGUGCCGGACCGUGUCCAAGUCUCCUGGAAAGGAGUAUCAAAGAGGGUGAUAAUCCCGUACUUAACACGACCACCGGUGCUCUGUGAUACGUCUUCUACGAGUCGAGUUGUUUGGGAAUGCAGCUCAAAAUGGGUGGUGAAUUCCAUCUAAAGCUAAAUAUUGGCGAGAGACCGAUAGCGAACAAGUACCGUGAGGGAAAGAUGAAAAGCACUUUGGAAAGAGAGUUAAACAGUACGUGAAAUUGUUGAAAGGGAAACGAUUGAAGUCAGUCGUGUUCUUUGGAUUCAGCCAGUUCUGCUGGUCUACUUCCUUGGAACGGGUCAACAUCAGUUUUGUCCGGUGGAUAAAGGUAGUAGGAAUGUGACUUCUCCGGAAGUGUUAUAGCCUAUUAUCACAUACACUGGGUGAGACUGAGGACUGCAGCUCGCCUUUAUGGCCGGCCUUCGGGCACGUUCGAGCUUAGGAUGUUGACAUAAUGGCU
rnacentral:rRNA from 1 species